UAGAGUCGUAAAUCCAUCUUUCAGAUCUUUCAUAGACCAAUAAUAUUUUCAAGAGAACCUCGUCUGAGUGUAGUAUCGUGUAUCAACCAGACCAGGCCUACGCAGGAAAGGUCACCACACUAUGUCCUAAAAGGCCAAGAGGGGCUAAAGUUCUCUAAGGUCUCUCAGAAUCUUGGACUCCCAUGUCGAAAAUAAUAACGCCAUUACAACUACUCGCAAGACAUUAGUACCUCCGA
rnacentral:lncRNA from 1 species